rnacentral:rRNA from 1 species
UACAGAGGGUGCGAGCGUUGUUCGGAAUUACUGGGCGUAAAGCGCGCGCAGGCGGCCUUUUAAGUCUGACGGUGAAAUGCCGGGGCUCAACCCCGUGCCCGCCGGAGAUACUGGGAGGCUGGAGACGAGUAGAGGCAAGCGGAAUUCCGGGUGUAGCGGUGGAAUGCGUAGAGAUCCGGAAGAACACCGGAGGCGAAGGCGGCUUGCUGGGCUCGGUCUGACGCUGAGCCGCGAAAGCCAGGGGAGCGAACGGG